UGCGUAGGCGGACCCUUAAGUCAGUGGUGAAAGUUUGCGGCUCAACCGUAAAAUUGCCAUUGAAACUGAGGGUCUUGAGUGUAAAUAAGGUAGGCGGAAUGUGUUGUGUAGCGGUGAAAUGCUUAGAUAUAACACAGAACACCAAUUGCGAAGGCAGCUUACUGGGAUACAACUGACGCUGAGGCACGAAAGCGUGGGGAUCAAACAGGAUUAGAUACCCUGGUAGUCCACGCAGUAAACGAUGAAUACUAGCUGUAUGCGAUAUACUGUAUGUGGCAAAGCGAAAGCGUUAAGUAUUCCACCUGGGGAGUCAUUCGCAAGAAUGAA
rnacentral:rRNA from 1 species